rnacentral:rRNA from 1 species
GACAUAGGUGGCAAGCGUUAUUCGGAAUCACUGGGCUUAAAGGGCGCGUAGGCGGGCCUUCAAGUCCGGGGUGAAAUCCUCCCGCCCAACGGGAGAAGAGCCUCGGAGACUGAGGGCCUCGAGGGAGGUAGGGGCGUGCGGAACUAUGGGUGGAGCGGUGAAAUGCAUUGAUAUCCAUAGGAACUCCGGUGGCGAAGGCGGCACGCUGGACCUCUUCUGACGCUGAGGCGCGAAAGCCAGGGGAGCAAACGGG